UUUCUUUUAAGUUUACAAGAAAAACUAAACCCGAAAUUAUUUUGAGAUGAAAUCAUCUCUGUGCCUCCAAAAUUGUUUAGGGAAAAACUGAUGGGUUUCCCUCGUUAGUGGAGGAGAGAAAAAGAAGGAAAAUAAAUAUUAAAAUAAAAUAAAAUAAAGGACGGGAAAAUUUGAAGAAAACGAACGGAAGAGAAAAUGAGAAAAACUCUCUUGCAUGUAAGGCCACCAAUUUGUUAGGAACGUUGGCUAUAAAAGCAGCUGUCUUCCUUCAGUUCAAAUCAUCCUUUAGAAAACCAAAACAUAGAGAGUUUUGAGAGAUAAGAAAACCUCACUUGUGUGUGAGAGAAAAUCCUCUUGAGAGAAAAACCAAGAGAGAGUUUAGCCACCGGUGUUUGGUGAGAUUAUUAUUGUAUUCCCAUUAUUUUUCUUAGUGGAAGAUAGAGUGUUAUUUUUGCCCAUUUUAUUUACACAAGGCUGGGAGAAGUCAGAUCCUGGGAGUGCUAUAUUUAUUUAUUGGCUCUUUGAUUUUCACAAUCUUUCCCAACAAGGGGUAUUAGAGCUUCGGCUCAAAAAUUAUAUUCUUGUGUAAUUUAAGAUGGAGGAGUCAUCGUCAUCAUCAUCAGCAAAAAUGUUAAAAUUGACUGCAUCCAAUUACUUCAUUUAGAAGCCAAGAAUGGAGGAUAUCCUUUAUUGCAAGGAUUCGUAUGAGCCCCUUCAAUUGCUGGGACAAAAACCAGCAGAGAAGUCAACGAUGCAUGGAGCAUUCUGAAUAGAAAAGUUGUCAGACAAAUCCGACAAUGGAUGGAUCAGAGUGUGUUCCACCAUGUGGCACAAGAGACGGAUGCAUACAAAUUAUGGACAAAAUUGUUGUCCAUGUACGAGCGGAAGACCGCUCAAAAUAAAGCAUCAGUUAUCCGACGAUUGGUAAACCUUAAGUGACUUCCAAGGUUUGAUCAACCUAUUGAUGAAUAUGAAGAUGGUGCUUGAUGAUGAGUUAUAAGCACUAAUGUUACUCAGCUCUUUGCCUGAUAGCUAGGAUACACUAAUAGUAUCCUUAAGCAAUUCAGCUCCUCAAGGCGUUCUUACAUUGGACAUAGUUAAAGAUAGCAUGUUUCAAUGAAGAAGCAAGGAGGAAAAAACAAGGUGUAGUAACCGAGUCAGAAGCCCUCGUCUCAGAGUAUCGUGGAAGAACUAACAAUAGAAAAUUUCACAGGCGAGACAAGUCAAAGGGCAAGUCAAGAGAUGGCUCGAGAGGAAGGUCCAAGACAAGAAAGGACCUAGAAUGUUACCAUUGUGACGAGAUAGGCCACGUGAAAAGAGAGUGCAGGUUGUUUAAACGAGAGCAAGAUAGAGGUAACAAAAAAAGUGAUGCUAGGCACACGACCGCAACUACCUCUGGUGGAAAUGAGGUAAUUAUUCUAUGUAGUGAUGGCUUCGUUAAUUUGUCCUCUCAAGAUACAUGCUGGAUAGUGGACUCUGGUGCAUCAUUUCAUGUCACCUCACGGAUGGACUUCUUUACAUCUUACACCAAUGGAGAUUUUGGUAAUGUGAGGAUGGGAAAUGACAAAUUGUCGAAGAGGAGAUAUUUCCCUUGAAACCAACACAAAUUGUCACUUGGUCCUCAAGGAUGUGAGACAUGUUCCAGACUUGCGUCUCAAUCUAAUUUCCACUGGAUUGCUUGACGAUGAAAGAUACGCCAAUGUCUUUGCUGAAGGGAAAUGACAACUCAGCAAGAACUCUCUUGUCCUAGCACGAGGGAAGAAGGAGAACACCCUAUACAUGACACAUGCAAAAGUCAGUAAUGGGUACGUAAAUGCUCUCGCAGAAGACUCAAUAGAGCUAUGGCAUAAACGGCUCGGUCACAUGAGCGAGAAAGGGCUGCAAAUUCUAGCCAAAAGAGAGGCAUUGACUGAGAUGAAGAAAGGCAUGCCUCUAAAAUCAUGCACUCAUUGCUUGGCUGGAAAGCAGUAUAGAGCUUCGUUUCAACAUGGUCAUGCACAAAGAAAACCCAAUGUAUUGGAUGUUGUGUACUCUGAUGUUUGUGGUCCUAUGACCACUAGUACUCUUGGUGGUGCAAGAUAUUUUGUUACCUUCAUUGACGAUCAUUCUAGGAAGGGAUGGGCUUACGCACUUAGAACAAAAGAUCAAGUGUAUGAAGUUUUCAAGCAGUUUCAUGCUAGCGUUGAACGAGAGACUGGUAGAAGCUUCAAAUGUAUUCGCACCGAUAAUGGAGGAGAAUAUAUGGGGGCAUUUAGAAACUACUGUAGAAGUAAUGGAAUCAGGCAUGAAAGAUCUGUUCCGAAGACUCCUCAGCAUAAUGACAUAGCUGAGAGAAUGAACAGAACAAUUGUUGAAAGAAUAAAAACAAUGUUAUCUCAUGCCAAACUGCCCAAAAGUUUUUGGGGUGAAGCUCUGAUGACUGCGGUUGAUCUACUCAACCUUUCUCCUUCAGCACCUUUGAAUGGUGAUGUCCCGAACAAAUUCUGGUCGGGAAAAGACGUUUCCUACAAUCAUCUAAAAGUUUUUGGUUGUAGAGCUUUUGUUCAUAUUCCUAAAGACGAGAGAUCCAAGCUCGACGCAAAGUCGAAAGAACGUAUCUUCAUGGGAUAUGAGAAUGAAGAAUUCGGUUACAGGUUAUGGGAUCCUGUAGCUAGAAAGAUUAUUAGAAGUAGAGAUGUUGUCAUCUUUGAAGAUCAGAACAUUGAAGACAUUCAAAGAUGUGAUAAACCUAAUAAUCCUAGAGAAUAUCCAACUAACUUAGAUUCAGUUCCUUCCCCAUUUGAGCACAAUGACGAGCGAGAUGAAUAAAAUGAUACUGAUAAUCUAGCUAGUGAUCCUAUUAUAAAUGAACCAGUUGAUGGUGACAUGAGUGAUGAUCAUACAACUGAUGGUAUAAUAGAUGAUGCAGCGGAUGAAGGGCUAGAAGCACCAGCCGAUGAAUAGCCAGAGGCCGAAUUCCAACUAAGAAGAUCGACCAGGGUACGGAGACCUCCGAGUAGGUAUUCUCCAGAUGAUUACGUUCUCCUAACAGAUGGGGGAGAACCAGAAUGCUAUAAAGAAGCAUUGACUCAUGAUCAACAAGAUGAGUGGUUGAAAGCCAUGCAUGAAGAGAUGCAAUCUCUGCAUGAGAACCACACAUAUGAUCUAGUGAACCUACCAAAAUGUGGAAUAGCACUCAAGAACAAAUGGGUGUAUUGACUGAAGACGGAAGAAAACAACUCUAAGCCCAGGUUUAAGGCAAGGCUAGUUGUGAAAGGUUUCAGUCAGAAGAAAGGAAUUGACUUUGAAGAGAUUUUCUCACCCGUAGUGAAGAUGUCAUCCAUACGGGUUGUACUCGGUUUGGCUGCAAGCCUGAAUCUCGAGAUCGAACAGCUAGAUGUGAAGACAGCUUUUCUUCACGGAGAUCUUCAAGAAGAAAUCUACAUGGAGCAGCCAGAAGGAUUCAAAGUCAAAGGAAAAGAAGAUUUGGUGUGUUGGCUGAAGAAGAGCUUAUAUGGACUCAAGCAGGCGCCUCGACAAUGGUACAAGAAGUUUGAUUUCUUCAUGAUUGAAUACAGAUAUCGAAGGACUACUUCAGACCAUUGUGUAUUUGUGAAAAUAUUUGAUGAUGGUGAAUUCAUCAUACUUCUUCUCUAUGUCGAUGACGUGUUGAUCGUAAGACAAAACAGUGACAAUAUUAGCAAGCUGAAGAAAGAGUUGAGCAAGUCUUUUGCUAUGAAAGACUUAGGACUCGCAAAACAAAUCCUCGGUAUGAGUAUAUCCCAUGAUAGAAAAAAUCGGAAGUUAAGGUUAUCACAAGAAAGUUAUAUCGAGAAGGUACUAAAGCGGUUUAACAUGGAUAAAGCAAAACCAGUUUCUACUCUAUUUCCUAGUCACUUCAAGCUUAGUUCAAAGCAGAGUCCCACAUGUGAGAAAGAAAAAGAAAACAUGGCUAUGGUGCCAUAUUCCUCAGUUGUUGGUAGUCUGAUGUAUGCAAUGAUUUGCACGAGGCCAGACAUAACGCACGCAGUUGGCGUUGUAAGCAGAUUCGUGUCUAAACCAGGCAGAGAGCAUUGGAAUGCUGUGAAGUGGAUUCUCAGAUAUCUCAGGGGUACUUCCAAAAUGAGUUUGUGCUUUGGAGGUGGAAAACCUGAAUUGAUUGGCUACACAGAUGCAGACAUGAUAGGAGAUCUUGAUUCCAGAAAAUCUACUUCAGGAUACCUGAUUACAUUUUCAGGGGGAGCAGUUUCAUGGCAAUCAAAGUUACAGAAAUGUGUUGCUCUAUCAACUACAGAGGCAGAGUUUAUUGCAGCUACUGAAGCAUGCAAAGAAAUGCUCUGGAUGAAGCGAUUCCUACAAGAAUUAGGCCAAGAGCAGCACAAAUACAUUUUGCAUUGCGAUAGUCAGAGUGCGAUCCAUUUGGGCAAGAAUCCGAGUUUUUCACUCGAGGUCGAAGCACAUUGAUGUGAGAUAUCACUGGAUACGUGAUAUGUUGGAGUCAAAGCAAUUACAGCUUGAGAAAAUCCAUACUGAUGACAAUAGUUCAGAUAUGAUGACCAAGUCCUUACCUAAGGACAAGUACGAAUUUUGCAAAAGAGCAGCUGGACUGCUGGAGCCCUCCACCUAAGUCAGGAGGGGGAGAUUGAUGGGUUUCCCUCGUUAGUGGAGGAGAGAAAAAGAAGGAAAAUAAAUAUUAAAAUAAAAUAAAAUAAAGGACGGGAAAAUUUGAAGAAAACGAAUGGAAGAGAAAAUAAGAAAAACUCUCUCACAUGCAAGGCCACCAAUUUGUUAGGAACGUUGGCUAUAAAAGUAGCUGUCUUCCUUCAGUUCAAAUCAUCCUUUAGAAAACCAAAACAUCGAGAGUUUUGAGAGAUAAGAAAACCUCACUUGUGUGUGAGAGAAAAUCCUCUUGAGAGAAAAACCAAGAGAGAGUUUAGCCACCAGUGUUUGGUGAGAUUAUUAUUGUAUUCCCAUUAUUUUUCUUAGUAGAAAAUAAAGUGUUAUUUUUGCCCAUUUUAUUUACACAAGGCUAGAAAAAAUCAG
rnacentral:lncRNA from 1 species